AGCGAACGCUGGCGGCAGGCUUAACACAUGCAAGUCGAGCGGGCGCUUCGGGGUCAGCGGCGGACGGGUGAGUAACGCGGGGGAACGUGCCUUCUGGUCUGGAAUAUCCCUGGGAAACUAGGGCUAAUACCGGAUACGCUCUCUUGGGGGUAGGUUUACUGCCGGAGGAUGGGCUCGGGUCCGAUUAGUUAGUGGGUGGGGUAACGGCCUACCAGGGCGACGAUCAGUAGCUUGUCUGAGAGGAGGCGCAGCGACACUGGGGGUGGGACACGGCCCAGACUCCUACGGCAGGCAGGAGUGGGUAAUCUUGGACAGUGGGCGCAAGGCUGAUCCAGCCCUGCCGCGUGAGUGCUGAAGGCCUUAGGGUUGUACAGCUCUUUUAUCCGGGACGAUAAUGACGGUACCGGAGGAAUAAGCCCCGGCUAACUUCGUG
rnacentral:rRNA from 1 species